rnacentral:rRNA from 1 species
AUGUUCUCAAUGCACUAUCUACCUAUCCAAGUAUUCAAGGGAAUUAAUGGUGGCGGAAUACAUACGUUUGCUCGUGGCCUUGUGCUCCUUGCUGCUCGACCUUUUUUGGGGUUCCAGCAUGACUCUGUGGCCAAUCUUACUGAGAUUGUUGGUACUGUUCUAACUUAUGAUAAUGUUGAUCGGCAGGGAGAGGGGAUCAGAAGAGGGACGUUGGUGGUCUUCGAGAUGUAUCAGUGGUCAGCCGUUGGCAGGGCCCUCAUGGAGACACUGGACAAGAUGGUGCUCAGUGGUGUGCUCAGCCCCAAGCUCGCCUUAAGCGUCCUCCUGCAGUCCAUCCAUAAGCGGUUGGAGCGCCAGGUCAAGAGCAAGGCAUUCUUCAAGUAA